rnacentral:rRNA from 1 species
GACGAACGCUGGCGGCGUGCCUAAUACAUGCAAGUCGAACGCAGGGGGGACGGGUGAGUAAAACGUGGGUAACCUCCCAUCAGAGGGGAUAAAACUUGGAAACAGGUGCUAAACCGAUACUGAUGGAUGGACCCGCGGUGCAUUAGCUAGUGGGUGAGGUAACGGCUCACCAAGGCCACGAUGCAUAGCUGGUCUGAGAGGGUGAUCGGCCACACUGGGACUGAGACACGGUCCAGACUCCUACGGGAGGCAGCAGUAGGGAAUCUUCGGCAAUGGACGAAAGUCUGACCGAGCAACGCCGCGUGAGUGAAGAAGGUUUUCGGAUCGUAAAACUCUUUUGUUAGAGAAGCGUUACCUAACCAGAAAGCCACGGCUAACUCCGUGCCAGCAGCCGCGGUAAUAC